UACGUAGGGGGCUAGCGUUGUCCGGAUUUAUUGGGCGUAAAGAGCUCGUAGGCGGUUUGUCACGUCUGCUGUGAAAUCCCGAGGCUCAACCUCGGGCCUGCAGUGGGUACGGGCAGACUAGAGUGCGGUAGGGGAGAUCGGAAUUCCUGGUGUAGCGGUGAAAUGCGCAGAUAUCAGGAGGAACACCGGUGGCGAAGGCGGAUCUCUGGGCCGUAACUGACGCUGAGGAGCGAAAGCAUGGGGAGCGAACAGG
rnacentral:rRNA from 1 species